GGGGAGGUGCCAGAGUGGACGAUUGGGGCCGCCUGCUAAGUGGUUGUCGGGUCAAACCGACCCAGGGUUCGAAUCCCUGCCUCUCCG
rnacentral:tRNA from 1 species